UAUUAGUACGGUUUGGACAUAAAUUCCUUUUUCUUUGGCACCUUGGUAGAAUGAAUACACAAAACAUAAAAAGAGAAAGAAUCCAAUUAAACCGGAUUCCAA
rnacentral:misc_RNA from 1 species